rnacentral:pre_miRNA from 1 species
CUGCUGUUUAUAUUUUGGCACAGCCAAAGUGGCUGCUGUUUAAGAAAAUAAACAGCAGCCAUUUUGGCUGUGCCAAAAUAGGUACAGACAA